AGGCUUUUAACUCGAGCUUUGACGGAUUUGAUUUACUUGGAACAGUAGCGCACUAUCAAGGAUGAAGGGAAGGUGGAAGGGAAGGGGAGUGAGAGUGUUUUUAUUUUUUUUAUUUUUUAUUUUUUAGCAGACGCUCUUAUCCAGAUUGAUUUACACAACUUUUACAUAGCGUUUUUUUAUGAUUUAGUUGAAGCCACUAAAAUGAAGAUAGAAUUAUACAUCAUUAAUCAUUUUUAAGUAGGUUUCACAAUUAUUUACAAUCCUGUCAUAAAUAUUUGGUGGAGAUUCUUUUGUCACGGGUCGUGGCACUGAGCCUUUUUAUAUUAAGUUUGAUAUGGUAGGAGGACACAUUUGUUAGGAUGUGCAGAACUAGAGUUUCGUGUAGGUGGGCAGGUGGGACGCGUUACCGGUAACACACAUCCUGCUUCCGUUUUCGUCACGCCAAAUGUUUACCUUUUCGGGACGCUGCCGUGUGGUUAGCCCUGGUUUUCUUGUCCUACGCGCACAAUAAGUACCUUAAUUAUUGUUUCCUAUGUUCCGGAGAGAGCUGUAUCUGGUUGUUUUAAUUGUUUUUUGAGAAACAUGAAGAAAAUGCAUUUUUAAAUGGGGUCCUGGGGAGCCGGCGGGCGUGCUGGACACUCUCACCAGCAGCGCAUCAUGGGCCAGGGACCGCGGCGGGCAUGCUGGACACUCUCACCAGCAGCGCAUCAUGGGCCAGGGACCGCGGCGGGUCAGCGCCCAUGCAGCAGGUCGGAAUGGGUCACCGCUUUCCAAACUUCCUCUGCUUGCCCUGGCGUCCGCCCGCACGCUGGACACACCAGAUCACUGCCCUGCACAAAAGAAAGAUUUCUGUAUGAGCGGGGCUUUUGCCCCAGAUUUCCAGAGGGCAGUUGUCUGGACUCCCCCACCACUGCGGUCCAGCCCUUCCUUCGUCACCGCCUCCACCCUGCCCACAUCUGUCCCCACCUGCUGCUCCCCACCACCGCCACCCGGCCCCGCCCAUCACCUGAGCCACAUUAUGAACAAUGAACAAUGUAAACAUUGACUGACUGACCAUGUUGGUCAUCAAUCUAUCAAUCUACACCCUGAGCCAACCAGAGGAGGAGCGGUUUCCUGCUGUUGCCUGAGGUUUGCUCCUGUGGGGGUUUAGGCCAGGGUUGCCUGUGAAGUGUAUUGUCCCAAUUGCUG